ensembl:snRNA U6 U6 spliceosomal RNA
GUGCUCAUUUCAGCAGAAUACAUAUCAAAUUAGAACAAGACAGAAAUGAUUGGCAUGUCCGCUGCACAAGUAUGACACACAAAUCCAUGAGACGUUCCAUAUUUUU